rnacentral:misc_RNA from 1 species
GAUGAAGAACGUAGCGAAAUGCGAUAAGUAAUGUGAAUUGCAGAAUUCAGUGAAUCAUCGAAUCUUUGAACGCACAUUGCGCCCGCCAGUAUUCUGGCGAGCAUGCCUGAUCGAGCGUCAUUUCAACCAUCAAGCCCCAGGCUUGUGUUGGAGCCCUGCGGCUGCCGCAGCCUCCCAAAACCAGUGGCGGGCUCGCUAUCACACCGAGUGCAGUAGUUUACUCUUCGCUCAGGGCGUGUGGCGGGUGCUAGCCGUGAAACCCCCAACUUCUCAAGGUUGACCUCGGAUCAGGUAGGAAUACCCGCUGAACUUAAGCAUAUCAAUAAGCGGAGGA